rnacentral:tRNA from 1 species
AGGAAUUUAGGUUAAAACAGACCGAGAGCCUUCAAAGCCCUAAGCAAGUCAUCAUCGAUUUAAUUCCUG